ensembl:snoRNA LOC120098008 small nucleolar RNA SNORA76
GUGCUGCCUUUGAGCCCCCGGUGCACCUUCUCGUGGUGUCGUGGGUUAAGCUGUGACGCUAUAGCACUUUGCUGGGACCGCCUGCCUAUCGAGGGCGGCCUUUUUAACCGUUAGCUACAGGC